rnacentral:rRNA from 1 species
GAUGAACGCUAGCGGCAGGCCUAAUACAUGCAAGUCGAACGGUAAGGCCCUUUCGGGGGUACACGAGUGGCGGACGGGUGCGUAACGCGUAUGCAACAUGCCUUCCAGCGGGGGAUAUACCAGGGAAACUUGGCGCAAUACCCCAUAGAAUUACGGGACCGCAUGGUCUUGUGAUUAAAACUCCGGUGCUGGGAGAUUGGCAUGCGUGACAUUAGCUAGUUGGCGGGGUAACGGCCCACCAAGGCGACGAUGUCUAGCUGGUCUGAGAGGAUGAUCAGCCACACUGGGACUGAGACACGGCCCAGACUCCUACGGGAGGCAGCAGUGGGGAAUAUUGCGCAAUGGGGGAAACCCUGACGCAGCCACGCCGCGUGGGUGAUGAAGGCCUC